ensembl:lncRNA
GUGUUUUAUUUUGGUACUCUGGUAAUAAUCACCUCCAGCGUGUACAGUGUCAUUCCCUACAGAAGGCUGGAUGUUCUCAAAGCUGUAGUAUUUACGUCUGUGAAGUUUUUCUCUACACGGUGUGUUUUUUGAAACUACUUUUAAGGUUUUGAUGAUGGGUUUGAAAAUGCACAAUUUUAUUUUCUCUGAAUGGCAAUGUGAGCAAUACAAAAUUACACAUCACUCUCGGUGGGAGAUUGACUGAAGAGAUCGGACAGGAUUCAGAUCCAUUCGUACUGAUGACCUUGAUACCCUGAAGAAGAUUCAUUCCUGCCUGUGUGCAAAUGGCAGCCAAGCUAUGCAGCACACGUUGAAGUAACAUAUUUUUUGAUGUCUUUCAGCAGCUCUGACUGAAAUAAAAAUGAUCACCG